CCUACGGGGGGCUGCAGUGGGGAAUAUUGGACAAUGGGCGAAAGCCUGAUCCAGCCAUGCCGCGUGUGUGAAGAAGGCCUUCGGGUUGUAAAGCACUUUCAGUGGGGAAGAAAGCCUUGGGGCUAAUACCCUCGAGGAAGGACAUCACCCACAGAAGAAGCACCGGCUAACUCCGUGCCAGCAGCCGCGGUAAUACGGAGGGUGCGAGCGUUAAUCGGAAUUACUGGGCGUAAAGCGCGCGUAGGCGGUCUGAUAAGCCGGUUGUGAAAGCCCCGGGCUCAACCUGGGAACGGCAUCCGGAACUGUCAGGCUAGAGUGCAGGAGAGGAAGGUAGAAUUCCCGGUGUAGCGGUGAAAUGCGUAGAGAUCGGGAGGAAUACCAGUGGCGAAGGCGGCCUUCUGGACUGACACUGACGCUGAGGUGCGAAAGCGUGGGUAGCAAACAGGAUUGGAUACCCCAGUAGUC
rnacentral:rRNA from 1 species